CGUGUAAGUACUAUAACAUGCUAUUGCACAUUUUCAGAUACUUAUAUCAAAGCGAGAGAGAAAGCUAGGAUAGCGGAGGACACUAGUGACCUCCAGUCAGAAGUAGAGACAAUGCGAAGGCGAAAAAGGACACGCAGAUUUGUUUCAUCGGAGAGCGAGGAAUCGGAGAGUGAUUCUCUGAUUUUACCCUCGCCUCCACCGAUGCCGGAAGGAACAACAACGGUCGGCGAUAGUGCUGCAGGGAAUGCAUCCGCGGCAGCUCCCACCGUAACAGCCACGACAGGUCCCAGCAGUAGCGGAUGCAAUGCUUUAGACAUGUGUUACUGCUGUAGAGAGAGAAACCAGCACCUAGACACAUUAAUAAAGCAAAAUCAUUUAAUCCGCGGAUUAUUAAUGGAUUUAACCGCCGACAUGAAAGAAUUGAAAUUAGCACGUAAAGUCGGCUUAUUGCAGAACCAAUUUCAAUCUAUUGUAGAUAUGAAGAACUGAAGUUCCCCCUUACGCGGGAAGAAGAUUUGUCGGUCUUAGAAACCUCCUUAGCAAAGGAGGACCAUUUUAAAGAUGCAGUUCAGGAAUUAGCCAAAACAGGGGGGACAAUAACUAUCAAUUUGUCAAAAGGGUGUUGUCCUCCAUUAUAGAUAACAGCUUAGCGCUGAAAUACAGCUGGCUAGGAAGAAAGGGCAAAAAAGUGUUCUGCACCUUGCAUUUAGCUAGGUUGGUGAUAUUUGCUGCUGAAACGGCAAACCUUGGGGAUAGUAAAAGGACAAUGGAGGUCUCAAUUCAAAAUUGGCUGAGGAGAGCGUUUGAUAGAAGUCAUGUAACACCAAAACAAUUUUGAACAUUUAAAUAAAAUAUUAUU